AUGGCCUGGCACAGGCGAGCCCAGAGCACAAACAGAAUUCCUAACACAGUUUUUAGGAAUGCUGGGGAGAGAAGAAGAGCCUGUGGCCAUACUCACAGUUUAUUGAGUCUGGCGUGGGAGCCUAACCAACUUGCUUGUUGCUGUGUGGGAAGAAAAUCCACUGAUCAGCAAGGUGGUUGUUCCUUCCCUUUAGCUAUAGAAUCUGUUUGGGUUCUAUUUUCUAUAAAUAUGAAACUAGCUCAUGCAGAACAGGACAGAGAGUUUAAAUGGGAAGAAAUAAGAACUUGA
rnacentral:lncRNA from 1 species